rnacentral:rRNA from 1 species
UUUAUGGAGAGUUUGAUCCUGGCUCAGGAUGAACGCUGGCGGCGUGCCUAAUACAUGCAAGUCGAGCGAACAGAUGAGGAGCUUGCUCCUUUGACGUUAGCGGCGGACGGGUGAGUAACACGUGGGUAACCUACCUAUAAGACUGGAAUAACUCCGGGAAACCGGGGCUAAUGCCGGAUAACAUGUUGAACCGCAUGGUUCAACAGUGAAAGACGGU